UCACAAUCGGUUGCGAGCAAAGAUCCUAUAACCGAUGAAUCUGCCCAUGACCGUACUACGUCUUUUUCGUCGAGUGGUCUAUCUUGCUUGCUAUAGGAUCUUUGGUUGCGAGCAGCUCCUCUAGUAUCUUUGGUUGCGAGGGAGAUGAGAGGUCAGGCCCAAAGAUAUCUGCUCUAAGAUCUUUGGUCAGGCCUGAGUUGAAGAUGCCUAAAAAUGUGGAGGUCAAAGCUGCAGUCCAUGACUGGGAUCAGCUUAUCGAAAAUGCGAAAAGACUAAGCAAAUCAGAGGGGAUUUUAAUAAUGCAGGAAGACACUUUCUUCAAUGUUUCAAAAGGACGUCUUAAACUGCGCCAUCUUAAGAACGGAGGUGGAGGGCAGCUCAUAUUCUAUAACCGUGCUGAUAUGGAGGGACCUAAGCUCUCAGACUAUUCCAUAUAUCCCACAGGAAAUCCAGUUGAACUCACGGUGGGUAGUCGUAUGGUAGAUGAUGUUUGUGUCCAU